GGUGUAGGGCGAAUGCCUUGGCACUAGGAGCCGAUGAAGGACGCGAUAAGCUGCGAUAAGCUUGGGGGAGUUGCACGUAAACUGUGAUCCCAAGAUUUCCGAAUGAGGAAACUCACUUAGAGUAAUGUCUAAGUAUCGUAUAGUGAAUACAUAGCUAUGCGAGGGGAACCCGGGGAACUGAAACAUCUAAGUACCCGGAGGAAGAGAAAGAAAUUCGAUUCCGUAAGUAGCGGCGAGCGAACGCGGAACAGGCCAAACCAGUGAAGUUUUCUUCACUGGGGUUGCGGACAUAUCAUAACAGAAUCACUUAUUCAAGACGAAGAGAGUUGGAAAGCUCCGCUAUAAAGUGUAAAAGCCACGUAGUUUAAAGAAUAAGACUCUAGAUAUGAUCCAGAGUACCACGGGACACGUGAAACCCUGUGGGAAGCAGGAGGGACCAUCCUCCAAGCCUAAAUACUACCUAGUGACCGAUAGCGUAUAGUACCGUGAGGGAAAGGUGAAAAGAACCCCGGGAGGGGAGUGAAAUAGAACCUGAAACCCUACACUUACAAGCUGUAGGAGCACAUUAUUUGUGUGACUGCGUACUUUUUGUAGAACGGGCCAACGAGUUACGUUACCUAGCAAGGUUAAGCACUUAAGGUGUGGAGCCGCAGCGAAAGCGAGUCUUAACUGGGCGUAUAAGAUAGCUGGUUCUCUCCGAAAUAGCUUUAGGGCUAGCCUCAAGAUUUAGAGAAACGGGGGUAGAGCACUGAAUGUCCUAGGGGGUAUUGCACUUACCGAAGACUAUCAAACUCCGAAUACCGUAUUCUUAUGCUUGGGAGUCAGACUGUGGGUGAUAAGAUUCAUAGUCAAAAGGGCAACAGCCCAGAUCGUCAGCUAAGGUCCCUAAAUGUACGUUAAGUGGUAAAGGAUGUGGGAUUGCACAGACAACCAGGAUGUUGGCUUAGAAGCAGCCACUCAUUUAAAGAGUGCGUAAUAGCUCACUGGUCGAGUGAUCCUGCGCCGAAAAUUUCCGGGGCUAAAACGUACUACCGAAGCUACGGCAUCAUUU
rnacentral:rRNA from 1 species